UGGUUGCGGGACCUACCCUGCCUUCCCUUCAAAUCUUGCCCUCUCGGAGCCUGGCGGUGCUCCGAGGAGUCAACACAGGGGGAUAGAACAGCUCUCCCUCACAAAAACCCAGUGCGGAGCCCUCCUCUCCGCCCUGCAUCCUGUCGUGAGGCACAAACGGCCCUUCCCUGCCUUUCCUCUCCGCGGCCCCUUCGCCGUCCCGGGCUGACGCCUCUCUCCUUCCGCAGUGUGUCCCGAGGCACCGGCGAGUCCUUCCCAUGUCCCGGUCGGGCCGGAGGCCGGGAGCGGCGGGCCUGGGCCCGGCGAAGCGCUGGAGAGCUGCGGCCACGCCUUUGGACGCCCGUGGGUGAGGGGCACACCGACCUCAUCCGCUCUCUCUACAGCCUGGGGCUGGCUAGAAGAGGCUUCUGGCUUCAAUACGCAUUAAAUCCCGCGAGUUUCUAAAGACAUUUAUAGAGAUGCUGCCCUACGUCUCUGAGACAAAAAUGUGUUUGUACACAUUUGCACCCUUCUGUUCUUUGACUUGCAGGGGCCCGACUUAGCAACCUCAUGCAAUAAAUAUUCUAAACAUGGAUAAUCAGGCCUAAAUGUGAAGCAACGCUCAGGACUUCUUAGGAAUAAAUACCUUCUACUGGAAGGUUUCUCAAAUCUGGUUCUUUGUGAACCUCUGUGAUGGAAGUCUUGAGUGAAGAGUUUCUUGUAAAUUGUUUGGUCUCCAGGGAGGAAACCAGAAUGUACCAGGGACUUGAAGUGAUAUUAAACCCCAGCUUAUGAUUUUCUGCAUGGCUGAUUUAUGACUUCAUAUGAGAUGACUCCACUUGUCACCUCUAAUGUAUCGUCUUAGAAGUGGAAUUGAGAUAAGCAAUGUCUAAAACUACAUGUCUUCAAUGAUCAUGUUUAAACAGGAACCUCUCCAUUUGUUAAAACAGGUUUCUUAACAAAAACUUCUGUAAUUUAUUACUGUCUUUGUGGGUCAAUUGAAAUAAAAUGUGAGUAUACUACCAGAA